AUGAACGCUAGCUACAGGCUUAACACAUGCAAGUCGAGGGGCAGCAUGGUCUUAGCUUGCUAAGGCUGAUGGCGACCGGCGCACGGGUGAGUAACACGUAUCCAACCUGCCGUCUACUCUUGGCCAGCCUUCUGAAAGGAAGAUUAAUCCAGGAUGGGAUCAUGAGUUCACAUGUCCGCAUGAUUAAAGGUAUUUUCCGGUAGACGAUGGGGAUGCGUUCCAUUAGAUAGUAGGCGGGGUAACGGCCCACCUAGUCAACGAUGGAUAGGGGUUCUGAGAGGAAGGUCCCCCACAUUGGAACUGAGACACGGUCCAAACUCCUACGGGAGGCAGCAGUGAGGAAUAUUGGUCAAUGGGCGAUGGCCUGAACCAGCCAAGUAGCGUGAAGGAUGACUGCCCUAUGGGUUGUAAACUUCUUUUAUAAAGGAAUAAAGUCGGGUAUGCAUACCCGUUUGCAUGUACUUUAUGAAUAAGGAUCGGCUAACUCCGUGCCAGCAGCCGCGGUAAUACGGAGGAUCCGAGCGUUAUCCGGAUUUAUUGGGUUUAAAGGGAGCGUAGAUGGAUGUUUAAGUCAGUUGUGAAAGUUUGCGGCUCAACCGUAAAAUUGCAGUUGAUACUGGAUGUCUUGAGUGCAGUUGAGGCAGGCGGAAUUCGUGGUGUAGCGGUGAAAUGCUUAGGUAUCACGAAGAACUCCGAUUGCAAAGGCGACAUGCUAAGCUGCAACUGACAUUGAGGCUCGAAAGUGUGGGUAUCAAACAGGAUUAGAUACCCUGGUAGUCCACACGGUAAACGAUGAAUACUCGCUGUUUGCGAUAUACGGCAAGCGGCCAAGCGAAAGCGUUAAGUAUUCCACCUGGGGAGUACGCCGGCAACGGUGAAACUCAAAGGAAUUGACGGGGGCCCGCACAAGCGGUGGAGCAUGUGGUUUAAUUCGAAGCAACGCGAAGAACCUUACCAGGUCUUGACAUCCCGAUGCUAUUUCUAGAGAUAGAAAGUUACUUCGGUACAUCGGUGACAGGUGGUGCAUGGUUGUCGUCAGCUCGUGUCGUGAGAUGUUGGGUUAAGUCCCGCAACGAGCGCAACCCCUAUUGUUAGUUGCCAUCAUUCAGUUGGGCACUCUAGCGAGACUGCCGGUAAUAAACCGGAGGAAGGUGGGGAUGACGUCAAAUCAUCAUGCCCCUUAUGACCUGGGCUACACACGUACUACAAUGGCGUUAAACAAAGAGAAGCAAGACCGCGAGGUGGAGCAAAACUCAAAAACAACGUCUCAGUUCAGAUUGCAGGCUGCAACUCGCCUGCAUGAAGUCGGAAUUGCUAGUAAUCGCGGAUCAGCAUGUCGCGGUGAAUACGUUCCCGGGCCUUGUACACACCGCCCGUCACACCAUGAGAGCCGGGGGGACCCGAAGUCGAUAGUCUAACCGCAAGGAGGACGUCGCCGAAGGUAAAACUGGUGAUUGGGGUG
rnacentral:rRNA from 1 species